GUGAGAAUCCCAUCCACCGAUUGACUAAGGUUUCCAGAGGAAGGCUCGUCCGCUCUGGGUUAGUCGGGUCCUAAGUCGAGGCCGACAGGCGUAGACGAUGGAUAACAGGUUGAUAUUCCUGUACCACCAUUUAUCGUUUUAAGCGAUGGGGGGACACAGUAGGAUAGGCGAAGCGUGCUGUUGGAGUGCACGUCUAAGCAGUGAGACUGAAUGGUAGGCAAAUCCGCCAUUCUCAAGGUUGAGCUGUGAUGGGGAGAGGAAACAUGUUUUCCUCGAGUCGUUGAUUUCACACUGUCGAGAAAAGCCUCUAGCUAGAUAACUGGUGCCCGUACCGCAAACCGACACAGGUAGUCAAGAUGAGAAUUCUAAGGUGAGCGAGAGAACUCUCGUUAAGGAACUCGGCAAAAUGACCCCGUAACUUCGGGAGAAGGGGUGCUCUUUAGGGUUCACGCUCUGAAGAGCCGCAGUGAAUAGGCCCAAGCGACUGUUUAUCAAAAACACAGGUCUCUGCUAAACCGUAAGGUGAUGUAUAGGGGCUGACGCCUGCCCGGUGCUGGAAGGUUAAGAGGAGUGGUUAGCUUCUGCGAAGCUACGAAUCGAAGCCCCAGUAAACGGCGGCCGUAACUAUAACGGUCCUAAGGUAGCGAAAUUCCUUGUCGGGUAAGUUCCGACCCGCACGAAAGGCGUAACGAUUUGGGCACUGUCUCAACGAGAGACUCGGUGAAAUCAUAGUACCUGUGAAGAUGCAGGUUACCCGCGACAGGACGGAAAGACCCCGUGGAGCUUUACUGUAGCCUGAUAUUGAAAUUCGGCACAGCUUGUACAGGAUAGGUAGGAGCCUUAGAAGCGUGAGCGCCAGCUUACGUGGAGGCGCUGGUGGGAUACUACCCUAGCUGUGUUGGAUUUCUAACCCGCGCCAUUGAUCAUGGCGGGAGACAGUGUCAGGCGGGCAGUUUGACUGGGGCGGUCGCCUCCUAAAGUGUAACGGAGGCGCUCAAAGGUUCCCUCAGAAUGGUUGGAAAUCAUUCAUAGAGUGUAAAGGCAUAAGGGAGCUUGACUGCGAGACCUACAAGUCGAGCAGGGUCGAAAGACGGACUUAGUGAUCCGGUGGUUCCGCAUGGAAGGGCCAUCGCUCAACGGAUAAAAGCUACCCCGGGGAUAACAGGCUUAUCUCCCCCAAGAGUUCACAUCGACGGGGAGGUUUGGCACCUCGAUGUCGGCUCAUCGCAUCCUGGGGCUGUAGUCGGUCCCAAGGGUUGGGCUGUUCGCCCAUUAAAGCGGUACGCGAGCUGGGUUCAGAACGUCGUGAGACAGUUCGGUCCCUAUCCGUCGUGGGCGUAGGAAAUUUGAGAGGAGCUGUCCUUAGUACGAGAGGACCGGGAUGGACAUACCUCUGGUGUACCAGUUGUCGUGCCAACGGCAUAGCUGGGUAGCUAUGUAUGGACGGGAUAAGUGCUGAAAGCAUCUAAGCAUGAAGCCCCCCUCAAGAUGAGAUUUCCCAACUUCGGUUAUAAGAUCCCUCAAAGAUGAUGAGGUUAAUAGGUUCGGGGUGGAAGCAUAGCGAUAUGUGGAGCUGACGAAUACUAAUCGAUCGAAGACUUAAUCAA
rnacentral:rRNA from 1 species